UACGUAGGGUCCGAGCGUUGUCCGGAAUUAUUGGGCGUAAAGGGCUCGUAGGCGGUUUGUCGCGUCGGGAGUGAAAACACGGGGCUUAACCCCGUGCCUGCUUCCGAUACGGGCAGACUAGAGGUAUGCAGGGGAGAACGGAAUUCCUGGUGUAGCGGUGAAAUGGGCAGAUAUCAGGAGGAACACCGGUGGCGAAGGCGGUUCUCUGGGCAUUACCUGACGCUGAGGAGCGAAAGUGUGGGGAGCGAACAGG
rnacentral:rRNA from 1 species